rnacentral:rRNA from 1 species
CCUGUGACGAAGCGUGAGUGACGGUAAUGGGUAAAGAAGCACCGGCUAACUACGUGCCAGCAGCCGCGGUGAUACGUAGGGUGCGAGCGUUGUCCGGAUUUAUUGGGCGUAAAGGGCUCGUAGGUGGUUGAUCGCGUCGGAAGUGUAAUCUUGGGGCUUAACCCUGAGCGUGCUUUCGAUACGGGUUGACUUGAGGAAGGUAGGGGAGAAUGGAAUUCCUGGUGGAGCGGUGGAAUGCGCAGAUAUCAGGAGGAACACCAGUGGCGAAGGCGGUUCUCUGGGCCUUUCCUGACGCUGAGGAGCGAAAGCGUGGGGAGCGAACAGGCUUAGAUACCCUGGUAGUCCACGCUGUAAACGGUGGGUACUAGGUGUGGGGUCCAUUCCACGGGUUCCGCGCCGUAGCUAACGCUUUAAGUACCCCGCCUGGGGAGUACGGCCGCAAGGCUAAAACUCAAA